UGCAGAGGUGGCAAGCGUUGUUCGGAAUUACUGGGCGUAAAGGGCGCGUAGGCGGCCAUCUAAGUCAGACGUGAAAUCCCCCGGCUUAACCUGGGAACUGCGUCUGAUACUGGACGGCUUGAGUAUGGGAGAGGGAUGUAGAAUUCCAGGUGUAGCGGUGAAAUGCGUAGAUAUCUGGAGGAAUACCGGUGGCGAAGGCGGCAUCCUGGACCAUUACUGACGCUGAUGCGCGAAAGCUAGGGGAGCAAACGGG
rnacentral:rRNA from 1 species